CAACAGGGAUUGCCCUAGUAACGGCGAGUGAAGCGGCAAGAGCUCAAAUUUGAAAUCUGGCUCCUUUGGAGUCCGAGUUGUAAUUUGUAGAGGGUGCUUUGGUGUCGGCUAUGGCCUAAGUUCCUUGGAACAGGACGUCACAGAGGGUGAGAACCCCGUAUGUGGCUGCUAGCCUUCACCAUGUAAAGCCCCUUCGACGAGUCGAGUUGUUUGGGAAUGCAGCUCUAAAUGGGAGGUAAAUUUCUUCUAAAGCUAAAUAUUGGCCAGAGACCGAUAGCGCACAAGUAGAGUGAUCGAAAGAUGAAAAGCACUUUGGAAAGAGAGUCAAAAAGCACGUGAAAUUGUUGAAAGGGAAGCGCUUGCAGCCAGACUUGCUCGUAGUUGCUCAUCCGAGCUUUUGCUCGGUGCACUCUUCUGCGAGCAGGCCAGCAUCAGUCCGGGCGGUUGGAUAAAGGCUCUGGGAAUGUAGCUCUCUUCGGGGAGUGUUAUAGCCCAGGGUGUCAUGCAACCAGUCUGGACUGAGGUCCGCGCAUCUGCUAGGAUGCUGGCGUAAUGGCUGUAAGCGGCCCGUCUUGAAACACGGACCAAGGAGUCUAACAUCUAUGCGAGUGUUUGGGUGUCAAGCCCGGGCGCGCAAUGAAAGUGAACGGAGGUGGGAACCCUUCGGGGCGCACCAUCGACCGAUCCUGAUGUCUUCGGAUGGAUUUGAGUAAGAGCAUAGCUGUUGGGACCCGAAAGAUGGUGAACUAUGCCUGAAUAGGGUGAAGCCAGAGGAAACUCUGGUGGAGGCUCGCAGCGGUUCUGACGUGCAAAUCGAUCGUCAAA
rnacentral:rRNA from 2 species